rfam:Picea glauca, whole genome shotgun sequence.
UAAACGGAUCUCCCUAGAUCCACCUAUAUAUAGAACAAAAUAGAA